ACACAUGCAGUCGAACGAUGAAGCCCNUCGGGGUGGAUUAGUGGCGAACGGGUGAGUAANACGUGGGCAAUCUGCCCUGCACUCUGGGACAAGCCCUGGAAACGGGGUCUAAUACCGGAUACUGAUCGCCUUGGGCAUCCUUGGUGAUCGAAAGCUCCGGCGGUGCAGGAUGAGCCCGCGGCCUAUCAGCUUGUUGGUGAGGUAAUGGCUCACCAAGGCGACGACGGGUAGCCGGCCUGAGAGGGCGACCGGCCACACUGGGACUGAGACACGGCCCAGACUCCUACGGGAGGCAGCAGUGGGGAAUAUUGCACAAUGGGCGAAAGCCUGAUGCAGCGACGCCGCGUGAGGGAUGACGGCCUUCGGGUUGUAAACCUCUUUCAGCAGGGAAGAAGCGAAAGUGACGGUACCUGCAGAAGAAGCGCCGGCUAACUACGUGCCAGCAGCCGCGGUAAUACGUAGGGCGCGAGCGUUGUCCGGAAUUAUUGGGCGUAAAGAGCUCGUAGGCGGCUUGUCGCGUCGGUUGUGAAAGCCCGGGGCUUAACCCCGGGUCUGCAGUCGAUACGGGCAGGCUAGAGUUCGGUAGGGGAGAUCGGAAUUCCUGGUGUAGCGGUGAAAUGCGCAGAUAUCAGGAGGAACACCGGUGGCGAAGGCGGAUCUCUGGGCCGAUACUGACGCUGAGGAGCGAAAGCGUGGGGAGCGAACAGGAUUAGAUACCCUGGUAGUC
rnacentral:rRNA from 1 species